AGAACGAACGCUGGCGGCAUGCCUAAUACAUGCAAGUCGAACGAACUCUUCGGAGUUAGUGGCGCACGGGUGCGUAACGCGUGGGAAUCUGCCCCUUGGUUCGGAAUAACAGUUGGAAACGACUGCUAAUACCGGAUGAUGACGAAAGUCCAAAGAUUUAUCGCCAAGGGAUGAGCCGCGUAGGAUUAGCUAGUUGGUGAGGU
rnacentral:rRNA from 1 species